UUGAACGCUGGCGGCAUGCUUUACACAUGCAAGUCGAACGGGCUGAGGGGGCAACUCCUCGGUCAGUGGCGGGCGGGUGAGUAAUGCAUCGGAACGUGUCCCGUAGUGAGGGAUAACCCGGCGAAAGCCGGACUAAUACCGCAUAUGCUCUACGGAGGAAAGCGGGGGACCUGAAAGGGCCUCGCGCCAUGGGAGCGGCCGAUGUCCGAUUAGCUUGUUGGUGGGGUAAUGGCCUACCAAGGCGACGAUCGGUAGCUGGUCUGAGGAGGAUGAUCAGCCACACUGGGACUGAGACACGGCCCAGACUCCUACGGGAGGCAGCAGGUGGGGUAA
rnacentral:rRNA from 1 species